rnacentral:rRNA from 1 species
GACGAACGCCGGCGGCGUGCCUAAUACAUGCAAGUAGAACGCUGAAGGAGGAGCUUGCUCUUCUGGAUGAGUUGCGAACGGGUGAGUAACGCGUAGGUAACCUGCCUGGUAGCGGGGGAUAACUAUUGGAAACGAUAGCUAAUACCGCAUAACAGUAGAUGUUGCAUGACAUUUACUUAAAAGGUGCAAUUGCAUCACUACCAGAUGGACCUGCGUUGUAUUAGCUAGUUGGUGGGGUAACGGCUCACCAAGGCGACGAUACAUAGCCGACCUGAGAGGGUGAUCGGCCACACUGGGACUGAGACACGGCCCAGACUCCUACGGGAGGCAGCAGUAGGGAAUCUUCGGCGAUGGACGGAAGUCUGACCGAGCAACGCCGCGUGAGUGAAGAAGGUUUUCGGAUCGUAAAGCUCUGUUGUAAGAGAAGAACGAGUGUGAGAGUGGAAAGUUCACACUGUGACGGUAUCUUACCAGAAAGGGACGGCUAACUACGUG